UGGCCCACUGAGUCGUGCGGGUGAGAUCCUGCGUUCAGGUUCGAGCAUCGCGCAGCGAUACGACAAUGCGCAGCGUUGCCCGCAGGGUGAGGCCACAGGCCGAAUCAAUCCUGCACGACCCACCC
rnacentral:sRNA from 1 species